rnacentral:rRNA from 1 species
UCCAGACUCCUACGGGAGGCAGCAGUGGGGAAUAUUGCACAAUGGGGGGAACCCUGAUGCAGCGACGCCGCGUGGGUGAAGAAGUCAUUCGUGACGUAAAGCCCUAUCAGCAGGGAAGAAAAUGACGGUACCUGACUAAGAAGCCCCGGCUAACUACGUGCCAGCAGCCGCGGUAAUACGUAGGGGGCAAGCGUUAUCCGGAUUUACUGGGUGUAAAGGGGGCGCAGACGGCAGCGCAAGCCAGGAGUGAAAGCCCGGGGCCCAACCCCGGGACUGCUCUUGGAACUGCGCGGCUGGAGUGCAGGAGGGGCAGGCGGAAUUCCUGGUGUAGCGGUGAAAUGCGCAGAUAUCAGGAAGAACACCGGUGGCGUAGGCGGCUUACUGGACGGCAACUGACGCUGAGGCUCGAAAGCGUGGGGAGCAAACAGGAUUAGAUACCCCUGUAC